rnacentral:ncRNA from 2 species
UUCCUCCAGUAUCAAUUCGGUUCUAAUGGGGAGCAGCCAUCAGAGGUAACGGGGAAAGACUGGUGUAAAUCCAGCACUGUCCCGCAGCUGUAAUGAAGUUCUUGCUUCAAAGUCAGAAUGCCCGCCGAAAUUACCACCAACUC